rnacentral:misc_RNA from 1 species
UCUCCGUUGGUGAACCAGCGGAGGGAUCAUUACCGAGUUUACAACUCCCAAACCCCUAUGUGAACGUUACCAAACUGUUGCCUCGGCGGGAAAUUCAUGCCCCGGGCGCGUCGCAGCCCCGGACCAAGGCGCCCGCCGGAGGACCAACCAAAACUCUUUUGUAUGUCCCUCGCGGACUUUUAUAAUUCUGAACCAUCUCGGCGCCCCUAGCGGGCGUUUCGAAAAUGAAUCAAAACUUUCAACAACGGAUCCCUUGGUUCUG